CUAGCUGCCAAGGUCUGGGUGGUGCCCACCAUAACACUCACCGUGCUCCCAGCCACCAGCCAUUUACAGUCUUCCUCUUUACCUUUUUAUCUUGCAAACCUUUGCUCUUCCAUGUCACCCCACAGUAGUUCCCACUAAUAGAUCAUUGGGCUGGGCCUAGGAAAAAACGUUAGCACCAUUUCCAUUAAAUUCAGCUUUGGAAACAUCAGCCUGGUGCAUUGCACUGUAUCAGUCAAUCGACCUCCAAUUGACAUAUCCCUCAGCAAAACAAACUAUCUGUAAGGGAUAAGCAAUGAUUCAAGGAGCCAACGGCAUCUCUCUGUUCCUAGCUCCUCUUUCAGAGUGCUCCUGAGAAGCCACGGGUCAAUAGUAAUGAUCCCUGAAUCACCUUGUUGUCUUCCUCUUCCUCCAGGAACAGAUGAAGAACUCUAUACCUACCCAUGAUGCAACAACCAGUCAGUCCUUACACGUUGUCCGAGGACCACAGCUCAUCAGGAGGGCAGCGCUCCACUAGGUCACCGGGAGAUCUUGUUGGGCUUCUUUACACGGUGCUUUUAGAUGUAGAGGAAUUCCCCACUCUGCCGCAGCGGCCAUGUAGCAUUGCAGCUUGUUCUAGUGUUUUCGUGUUACGCCGCUCCAAGUGUGGAUUUUGUUCGUGCAAACAGCCAGAGACUCCAAAGACUUGGGUUCUAACCCUCACUUCAUGGCCUCUGAUGUGAAUCCAGGCAAGUCAUUUCCCUCUCUUUCCCUUCCCGCCCUUUAUCUGUCU